rnacentral:lncRNA from 1 species
GCUUAAUUUACCCUACCUAACAUUACCCUCCUGAUUAAGUUUUCUUCUUUUAAAUAUUUUUGAGUCUUGAUUUUUCUUCUUUGAAUGUACUUUUCCUAAUCUUAAAAUGUGGAAAUUGUAAAAAUGAGUCAUGGUUCUUAUGUGCAAAUGCAAGAGGAAAAUAUUUCUAUCAUUACAUUUUUUUUCUUGGCAUGAAGAUAAAUUUCAUUGCAUUACAAAAUCUAUAGAUACAAAAUCUAUACAUAAUUUUAAAUGAUACUGUCUGUUCGAUAUUUACAUUUACAAUGUUAUUAUUUUCUGUCACAAGCCACCCCUCCAAAUGUUGACACAGUACCAAAUUGCUUUCUAAGACCAUCUAAUCAAUUUUUGUCCCGAGUGAUCAAGCAGCAGUGUCAAUUUCCUUGUAUUUUUUCUGGAACUGAGUCUUUCCCCUCUAAGCUUCUAGUCAAGGUCUCUCCCUGUAGCCCAAACUGGCCUUGAACUUGACUGCAUGUAGGCUGAUUUUAUACUACUGCAAUGCUCCCCUUGUUAAUAGACUUCUUGAAAGACAUUCCUGGUGAACUCUUCUACCACAGAGUAUCAGACCUUAAGCACUAAAGAGCAUCGUAGCAUUUGUCUACUCUAGCCCUCUCUUCCUUCAAAUGAGAGAAAUAAGGUUUGUGAGUUGUCUUUGAAGUGUUACAACAGUGACAGGGUGGGGCUAGGGUUUAGAUUUGUUUCCCGACAUUAUUCCUUAAUGAGUUCUGAAAUUGGAUAUAAUUAUGGGUGCUGUAUCUAUGGUGCUGGAGACUUGAUUUGGGACCUUGCAAGUAAGCACACAUUCUAUCAUUUAGCAUAAAUGCAGCUUUUAGGAUAAAUUGCCAGACUCAGAAAUUUUAUAGUUGCCCGCCCCCUUUUUUUUCUCUUUAAUUUCCAUGCAUACUUUAUCAGUUAGAAUAUCUAUCUAACUGCAAACUUGAUAAAAAUUACUCAACUGACUGUAAACUCAACUUACAUAAGAAUUUUAGUAUAUUUAUUUUAUAAUUUUACAUAAUAAAUAAUCCCCCAAAAGUAAUGAUUGGAACAAUGAUAAUUUAUCAUCUCACGUUCUUUGGAGUUCAAGAAUUCAAGGCAACUUGGCUAGGUGAUUCUGUCUCGGGAUGUCUGUUGAGGUUGCUGGCAGCUGCCAGUGCUAUGAUCAUCCGAGGGCUUGCAGGGCUGGCGGACAUGCUGCCAUGGUGGCUCAGAGUCAUGUUUGGCAAAUAGACACUCGCCUUUGGCAGGCAGCCUCAGUUUCUCUCCACAGGGGCUGCCUUGCAGUCCUCCCAGGAUGGCAGCUCACUUUCCCCAAGCAGAGCAAACCAAGCAGCAGCUGACGUCUUUCUGUAAGGCAGCAUGAGGGAGUGGUGGCUCUGGCUUGUAAUCCUACCACUUGGGAGGUUGAGGCAGGAUUGCUGUAAAUUCAAGGGCAGUGUGGGUUAUACGAGAACCUGUUUCAUAAAACAAAACAAAACAAAAC